UACGUAGGGUGCGAGCGUUGUCCGGAAUUAUUGGGCGUAAAGGGCUCGUAGGCGGUUUGUCGCGUCGGGCGUGAAAAUCCAGGGCUUAACUCUGGACUGGCUUCCGAUACGGGCAGACUAGAGGUAUGCAGGGGAGAACGGAAUUCCUGGUGUAGCGGUGAAAUGCGCAGAUAUCAGGAGGAACACCGGUGGCGAAGGCGGUUCUCUGGGCAUUACCUGACGCUGAGGAGCGAAAGUGUGGGGAGCAAAAGGG
rnacentral:rRNA from 1 species